rnacentral:lncRNA from 1 species
CAUGUCUCUGCAAAUGGCACAGUUUUCUUCCUUGUAAUGGCUGAGUAAUAUUCCAUUUUGUAUAUAUACCACAUCUUCUUUACCCAUUCCUCUGCUGAUGGACGUCUACAUUGCUUCCAGGUCCCGGCUACUGUAGAUAGUGCUGCAGUGAGCAUUAGGGUGCAUGUGUCUUUUUGAGUGAUGUUUUCCUCAGGGUAUAUGCCCAGGUAUAUGCCCAGCAUUGCUGGGUCAUAUGGUAGUUCUCUUUUUCUUGAGGUGGCCCUUCCUGUCCGGUGUCACACUGCCCCAGCUCAGGCCGCAUCACCUCACCCCUGGGCUGUGGCACUGGCAGUGCUGAUGCAGCUCACCUCCACCCUGAGCUGGGCAGCUGAGCAGCCUUGGGGCAAUGCUGGGAUCGCAUUGUUCCCUGCCCAGGGAUCUCCAGUGGUCCUCCGUGUCCUGAAUAAAGGCUGGUCACAAGCUACAGACCGGAUCAUUUGACACAUCUCUCGUGCGCUUGAAACUCAAAUUGAAACUCUGCCAUCGUAACCAUACAAAGAAAAAUAACUUUUCAAAGCCCCAAAUAUAUAUUCUUCUGAUUCAUCCUUUUGAUAUUUUACUUGGAUCAAAACCCAGAUUCACUGGUUUUCUCCAAGCACACAUUUGGGCUACUUCCAUCAUUGUUCUUGGAAAUGAUUUUUCCUUUUGACAUACUGUGUGUUCAGCCUACAACCUGGUCAACACCAUCACAGGCUGUGCCAGGGACCCUCUUGCAGGCUGCCUGGAGCAUCUCUAAGGUGAGAAGGAAGAAAGUUGAUGACCAGAGCUCUCUCUGGAGAAGGAAGAGCAGAUCUGAAGAGCUCUCCUUUCAUCAAGUCAUCCCUUCGGUUCUAAAAGGAGGGUCCAUCCACUAUGUCAUCAAGUCCCAAGUUCUCUGUCUGGCUUUUGGGAUUUGCCUGGACCUGGCUCAGACCAACUUCAACUCCACUUCUCAGCACACCCAUACUGCCACGCCAGGCACAUCGCCUUCUUAGUCCUUGAGGGCUGCAUCCUACUGCCUGCUCCCAUGUCUUGGGUUGUCUGCCUCCUCUCCCCGCCGGGUUCCUGAAGCUCCUUGUUGUGAAGGCCAAGUUCAGAAUCACUGCCUCCAUGCAUGUGCGGACAGAUGGCUCCCCCCGGGGGAUCUCUCUCCUGCCCUGUGCAGCCCUGGCCCCUGCAGUCUGCACACACGUCUUCCUCCAGGGCUCCCUGUGUAUAAGGCCUGUCCUGUGGAGCUCCAGGCUGGAGACAGUGUUGCCCCAGGGACAGGGCCAGAUCAUGGGGAGCACUUUGUUACCACCUGCUGAGCUUCCCAAAAGUUUGCACUGCAGACAAGGCAUGCUCCUGGUUGCCUACCCCAUGUACAUUCCCUUCUUCUGCCCUGGUCACAAAACCCAGUGAUAUUCCAGGAACCUUAUGCCCAGCUGAAAGGCAAUCUUCCCCAGGCCACCUCUAGCCAAGAGUUCACAUGAAAGGCAAGCAAACUUUUCUGGGCAGGACUUCCAGGCAAGUUUCUUUUUCAUUUUUGGCUGUACUGCAUGGCAUGUGGAGUCUUAGUUCCCCAACUGAGGAUUGAACCCCUGCCCCCAUGUUGGGAGUGCGGAGUCUUAACCGCUGGACCUCCAGGGAAGUCCCCAAGCAAGUUUCUUAAGAAAAGGACACAGUUAAGUGUUCUGCAAAUAUUUUUUUUCCCCAGUUUGCGGUUUGUCUUUUUAUUUUCUUAAUAAUAUUUUCCGAAGAGUAAAAACUUUUAGUUUCAGUGAAAUCCAG